CCUGCCCAGUGAAUCUUUGUAUUUUAACGGCCGCAGUACUUUGACUGUGCUAAGGUAGCAAAAUCAAUAGGCCUUUAAUUGGGGUCGAGUAUGAAUGGCUUAUAUGGACUUAGACUGUCUCUAUUAUUACUUUAUAAUUUGCUUACUAGGUGAAAAUACCUACGGAUAAACAUUAGACGAGAAGACCCUUAGAGUUUUAAUUAAAAUAUAAUACGCACUAUUAUAAUUAUUUUUGUUGGGGCGACAACUUAUCCAAAAUUAACGUAAUUUCACAUAAACAAGACUCAACUUAAAUGAAAAAAGAAUAUAACUACCUGAGGGAUAACAGCAUAAUUUUAUUAAAGUUUGUGACCUCGAUGUUGGACUAGGGACUUCUUAGGGUAGCCCUCU
rnacentral:rRNA from 1 species